rnacentral:lncRNA from 1 species
CUAGUACUUUGGCUGAGCAAUUUCAGAAGUUUCUCUCCUUACAACCUCAAGCUAUGCCUGCUUCUUCCAUAUGUCAGUUGCCUCAUAGUUCUUCAGGUAUGUCACAUUCUGUAUGGGUCUUGAAUUCUGGUGCUUCACAUCAUAUGUCUCCAAAUUUUUCGUCUUUUGUUUCUGUGUCCCCUUCGUCCUCUAUUGCUGUCAUGACUGCUGAUGGCACUCUUAUGCCAUUAGCAGGUAUUGGUUCUGUUGUCACACCUCACUUGUCCCUCCCUAAUGUUUAUCAUAUUCCGAAUCUCACAUUAAAUCUUGCUUCUGUUGGUCAGUUAUGUGAUUCUGGUAAUUUAGUCACAUUUUCCUCUUCUUCUUGUUAUGUGCAGGAUCUGCAAUCUUAGAAAUUGAUUGGGACAGGCCGUAGGAAGGGUGGAAUAUAUAUUUUGGAUGAGCUAAAAGUGCCAAUUGCUGCUGCCGCUACUAGUGUUGAUUUGUCUUCAUUUCGUUUGAGUCCUUCUUCUUUUAGUUUUUA